AAUAGAGGAGCGGGCGAGCAUGAGUAUUUCCGCCGCAUCGGGGAGCGGCAUUCCCGGCGGAAAAAAAGGGCAUCCCCGCCGAGGCACAGCGCCGCCGCCAGCGCUGCCGCCGGGCGCACGGGAGAAUACCCGCGCGACUGUCACCGCAGCGUGGAGCACUAUUU
rnacentral:ncRNA from 1 species